ensembl:lncRNA
GCUUCUGCUGCUGCAGAUAUCUGAGAAUGUCUAUGAGGAGGACGUCCUCCAACAGCAGCUUCUCCUCCUUCGCCGUGGUUUGGAUGGGUUCUCUGCACAUGUGGUUUGAUGGACAGGAGUCCUGAUGUGAUGGACAUGUGAUGGUCCAUAGGCGUAACCACGCAUUCUUUGGGGGGGUCGUGUCCCCCCCAAUAUUGAAAAGGCGUCACAGAGAGACGGGGAAAGAGACAGGCAAGUUAAAAGCAGUGGCCACACAGGGACAAGCUCUGGACAUGCAGAUGAUCAGGAGACUGACAGGGAAAGAGAGACAGAACCAGGCACAGGAGGCAGUGGUUUAGAUCAGCGUGAGGAGGAGCUCGGGGCAGCAAUGGAAAUGAAACUGUGAUCCACUCCCACUAUUUAGCCUCCAUUGUAGCCUACACCCUGUACCUGUUAGCUACAUCAUGUAGUGUCCUACCAAGAGGACCGUCUCUGUGUUCCUGCUUAGCCAUU